rnacentral:lncRNA from 1 species
AAUAUUUACAUGACAAUCCUGUCUUCCAAAUGCAUUUUAAACAUUUUGUUUUUAUCAACAAUUACUAUUUAAAAAAAAAAAAAAAAAACACACUGAAGAUAACAUGUAUUUUAGUUGCAACAACUUUAUUAUGGAUAAAGAACUGCCAACCUGUACCAGAAACAACUAAUGGUUUGGAACACACUAUACACUAUGAACGACAACUCGACCUAGAAUGUUACUCACAUUUGUUCAUAAUGUAAACAAACACGCAUAUAAAAAAAACGGUAGUAUGUAGCAUUUAAAGACAACCAGAAUGCUGUAGUAAAGAUCAUCGAGAAAUUGAUCUGGUUUGCCGCCCGGAGAUGCCG